rnacentral:rRNA from 1 species
UGCCAGCCGCCGCGGUAAUACAGAGGUGGCGAGCGUUGUUCGGAUUUACUGGGCGUAAAGGGUGCGUAGGUGGUUACGUGUGUCGGGUGUGAAAGCCCACGGCUCAACCGUGGAAUUGCAUUCGAAACUGCGAAACUUGAGUACAGGAGGGGAGAGCGGAAUUCUUGGUGUAGCGGUGAAAUGCGUUGAUAUCAAGAAGAACACCGGUGGCGAAGGCGGCUCUCUGGAAUGUUACUGACACUGAGGCACGAAAGCUGGGGGAGCGAACAGGAUUAGAUA